CUUAAACUGAUUCAAAAGAUUCGAGUCGCUUUUGAUGAAUCAAAAGACAUACAUACAGCUCCAUGAUGCUUUUACCAAGGCUGCUCAUCUUUACAGUGCUGGCUGCUGUACUUCAUGCAAUUCCAGUUUCAACUCAUAUUCAUGAGGUUGAAGAUGAACCCAAUUUUAACCCUUUCAUCAAUCUUGGAGCAAAAACCCAGCUGAUUGAGGGAGAC